GGAGGGCACAGCUCAGGGGCAGAGCCCAUGCUUGGCACGCACAAGGUCCUGGGUUCAAUCCCCAGGACCUCCA
rnacentral:tRNA from 1 species